UACACAAACACACACACUCCGCGCCCUCCCUCCGUGGCUGAGGGAAAGUCCCGCCGAGCCCCUUUUUAGCCUUAUUUCGGCCGAACUUGGCGGGCUGACACUCCCCGGUCUCCGCGGGGACAGCGGGGCCGGUUUGUCCCCGAGCCAAGGGAGCCUCUUGUCGCUGCUGAGGGGCUGCUGCGGGAGGGUACCUGAGGGCAGGGAAUGGCUCCGGGCUGUCCCCUCCUGUCCCGGCACCACAACUCAGGGAAUGGCACCGGGCUGGUCUAUCCCGGCAUCAGAACUCGGGGUGUAACCCACAGCUCUGCCCUGCUGUCCUGGCACCAGGACUCAGGGAAUGGCCCCAGUGCGGGAUUUGGGGGCCCUGUUGCUGCGUGUUCCUGCGCGGUGACCAUUCUUGAAGCGCCUCUAAAUUCUUGUCUGUUGCGCUAAUGUGAGAUGUCGUCACGCCUACGUUUAGCAAAAGCUGUGGAGCUAUUAACUCGGAGCUAGGAAAGUGCUUUGAUGAAAAUAUAUUAAACAUGAAAACCUGCUGUGGGUCCUCCAAAUUAUUUCUCCUCGCUUUGAGACAAACACUGCAAAAUAUUCCACUUGUAGGAAGGAGGGCAAAACACCAUCCUGAGACCUUUUUAUUUUUUUUUUCCAGGGAGUCUUAGUGAGCUGCUCCUUUUCAGUAGCUGUUUUAUAAGUGUUACUAAAAGUCUGCUGCCCUUAGACUUUACAAGGUACAUGAGAGAAGGAUUAAAUUCGCUGUGUGAUUAAAUCAUCUUUCAUUAGCUUUGUCCCUGGCCCUCAGCACUAUGCUGUAGCAGGCCUUGCAGAAAAUGUCACAGCUUUUCCCAGAGUGAUCUGUACUCACACAGUUGUUACAGGCACUGGAACUCCAGAUCAAAAACAUCCUUGUUUCCAUUAGUGUGUUUUUCAAAGCUUUUUUAUAAGAAAUGAGGGCUCCACCUCCUCUGUGUAUCGUGUGUAUGUAUUUUUGAGGUGGAAGAGCCUCAAUUUCUGACCAUAAAUAUUGUACAUGCUUAAAUAACUAUUAUUCUUCCACAGAUCCUGGUCUUUUUUUUUUUUCACACGGGUUCUGACGUUAGAGAAAUCCGAAAGAAGUCAAUGGAAAAUGGAAACCAUCGGCUGUCCCCACCUCUGACAGGAGCUGCUCUGUAUAUGCUGUGUGCAGAUUUCUUUGAUGGGAAGGGUGUCGGUUUCUCUUGUAGUUAGACCAGUGACUGAUUCAUCCCUGAACCAUCUCUUCCUCAGGUGAAUGGGAAAAACACAGGAGCAGAUGAAGCAGGCAGUAACUGGAACUUCACUCUGUUGCCAGGACUGUUAUAAACUCAGGCUCUAAAAUCCCCCAGCUGUCCUAAGAACGGAAGCUGUUUUGGGGAUUCACAGCUGUGUGAGGAUCGGCUUCACCCUCCUCUCAGCAAGCGGAAACGUUCGAGCCUUUGGAAUGGGAACAUGCGCGUUCCCAGCGAGCCACGAGAUGGCACCCACAGCCCCAUUCCCCGUAUCCCUGAACAUCUGCAGAAUUCCAGCCCUUCGGAGAGGUUAGAGGAUGCAGCUCCUUCCACUUCAUCAAAGUCAGAGGAAGCCUGUGAUUAGCUGGAUGUUUACAAAUAAAAGGAGGAUCUGGAGACAGAUCAAAGAGAACUCUCCAGAUUUGGCACAGACACCGUAUACUUGUGCUAGCAGCAUCUGCAUGGGUUCAACUGUUACAUGAAGUGGCUGAACUUGGUGUAUCUCAUCAUAUAUUAAAAAUGCUUUUAUAUGCUUAGUGCAUUUAUUAGAAGUCUGAAGAGUCAGCCAGCUAAGGACCUCACAAAAAUGAAAAAACAACACCUCCCAGCAAACAAGAUCUUACAGACUCCAUUUAAGAGAAGCACCCACUGGGUUCUUCCUCACCCUGUUUUCUGCAGUGUAAAGGGAAUCAAGAAGCAAAGCACUGUUCCAAAAUCCAAAGGAUGUAGUACUUCAGACUCAGUAAACAGGAGCAGUAGCACUCAAAGCCUGUUCUCC